ACCGACAGCAAGAGAGAUGGCUGAAGAAAAGGGAGCUGGUUCUCAGAUUGUUCCAGCGGCCGCUCCAAUUAUGGUGCAGUCAGAGAAUUCAAGCUUUAAUAUUGGUAUGGUUUUGGAUGAAAAGAACUAUGAUUUAUGGGCUCCUCUCAUUCAAAUCCAUAUUGCUGGAAGGAAGAAGAUGGGAUAUCUUCGUGGGUCUAUCAAGGCACCUAACGAAGAUGAUCCUAAAUAUGAUGAUUGGUUCUCUGAAGAUCAAAAAAUUAAGAGUUGGCUUUUGUCUUCAAUGAAGCCUGAGAUUAUGAAACGGUACAUUAGGCUGUCUACAUCGAAGGAGAUUUGGGACUCCCUUAAGACAGCAUACUUCGAUGAGAAUGACGAGGCUAGAAUUUAUUCGUUGAAUCAGAAGGCAUCACGUCUUCGUCAGAAUGGCCG
rnacentral:lncRNA from 1 species